ACACGUUACUGCGCGCUGCACGGCGAGCACAUGCUGUGCGGAGAAGGCUGACAUCAGAUGCGCGUUUAAAGCAUCAACAGCAAAAAGAUAUGUGGGCUUUGUCCUCCAGCUGCAGCCGAGCCCAGGAUGUAAGACGCUCGAUCACACACUCUGCUUCUGCAGUGGACAGCUUCUUCAGGACAGCCAUGCAUUCCUCAGUCUGCAAGCAGCAUAAAAGACUUCCUAUCAAUAUGUCAUAAAAACAUCAAAAGAAAAUGUAAAAGAAAAUGAUAUUGGUGAUUCCAUAUUCUCAUGUGGAUGAGCAUACCUUGCAUUGGCCAAUCAGCUGGAUGAGAUACAGGUAAUUUAUCUGCGAGGUUGGAAGUUUGUAAGCUGCAGCUAAUGUCAGGGAGUCUUCUAAAGACAUUGGCAUGUCUUGCUUUAGGAUGUACGUAAUCAGCGUCUGGGGAAGAUAUACAGUAUAUGACAGAAAGUUUAUAGGCAGGCACAACAGAAGUCAGAUGUCACACACAAUUAAUCAAAUAAAAAUUACCAUAAUUUGA